rnacentral:rRNA from 1 species
GACGAACGCUGGCGGCGUGCUUAACACAUGCAAGUCGAACGGAAAGGCCCUGCUUUUGUGGGGUGCUCGAGUGGCGAACGGGUGAGUAACACGUGAGUAACCUGCCCUUGACUUUGGGAUAACUUCAGGAAACUGGGGCUAAUACCGGAUAGGAGCUCCUGCUGCAUGGUGGAGGUUGGAAAGUUUCGGCGGUUGGGGAUGGACUCGCGGCUUAUCAGCUUGUUGGUGGGGUAGUGGCUUACCAAGGCUUUGACGGGUAGCCGGCCUGAGAGGGUGACCGGCCACAUUGGGACUGAGAUACGGCCCAGACUCCUACGGGAGGCAGCAGUGGGGAAUAUUGCACAAUGGGCGGAAGCCUGAUGCAGCAACGCCGCGUGCGGGAUGACGGCCUUCGGGUUGUAAACCGCUUUCGCCUGUGACGAAGCGUGAGUGACGGUAAUGGGUAAAGAAGCACCGGCUAACUACGUGCCAGCAGCCGCGGUGAUACGUAGGGUGCGAGCGUUGUCCGGAUUUAUUGGGCGUAAAGGGCUCGUAGGUGGUUGAUCGCGUCGGAAGUGUAAUCUUGGGGCUUAACCCUGAGCGUGCUUUCGAUACGGGUUGACUUGAGGAAGGUAGGGGAGAAUGGAAUUCCUGGUGGAGCGGUGGAAUGCGCAGAUAUCAGGAGGAACACCAGUGGCGAAGGCGGUUCUCUGGGCCUUUCCUGACGCUGAGGAGCGAAAGCGUGGGGAGCGAACAGGCUUAGAUACCCUGGUAGUCCACGCUGUAAACGGUGGGUACUAGGUGUGGGGUCCAUUCCACGGGUUCCGUGCCGUAGCUAACGCUUUAAGUACCCCGCCUGGGGAGUACGGCCGCAAGGCUAAAACUCAAAGGAAUUGACGGGGCCCCGCACAAGCGGCGGAGCAUGCGGAUUAAUUCGAUGCAACGCGUAGAACCUUACCUGGGUUUGACAUGGAUCGGGAGUGCUCAGAGAUGGGUGUGCCUCUUUUGGGGUCGGUUCACAGGUGGUGCAUGGCUGUCGUCAGCUCGUGUCGUGAGAUGUUGGGUUAAGUCCCGCAACGAGCGCAACCCUUGUUCACUGUUGCCAGCACGUUAUGGUGGGGACUCAGUGGAGACCGCCGGGGUCAACUCGGAGGAAGGUGGGGAUGACGUCAAGUCAUCAUGCCCCUUAUGUCCAGGGCUUCACGCAUGCUACAAUGGCUGGUACAGAGAGUGGCGAGCCUGUGAGGGUGAGCGAAUCUCGGAAAGCCGGUCUCAGUUCGGAUUGGGGUCUGCAACUCGACCUCAUGAAGUCGGAGUCGCUAGUAAUCGCAGAUCAGCAACGCUGCGGUGAAUACGUUCCCGGG